AAAACUAAGAAAUGGAAAUAGAAAAGUCUUCUCUUCUGAGUGGAUGCCAGCCUACCAACUGUGUAUGAAGAAGAAACACCUAAGCUGUUUAAACAGUAGUUUUUUCUGCCACAAGUUUUAAGUAUCAAAUGCUUUACCCGAAUACAGCUUGCAUAUGGACUGUAUUAUUCUGAAGGUGGUAUUCAAUAUCAUAUGUAUGUUAGCGUACUUUACAGGGAGAUUUGUCGUAGCAAUCAUUUGCAGUGUGUCAUUGGAAAGAAGUGAACCAGAAGUGACUGUCAUACCACUACAUUAUCACAACACCAG
rnacentral:lncRNA from 1 species